AAAAAAAUUACUUAAGUUAGAGCAGCGUAGCUAAUAAGAAUUCGUACUCUUAAUAAGAAUUCCAUGCGUUAGAGCGAGCAAGUGAAGGUCAGGCGAAAUUUGACAGCGAAUUUGAAGUUUGAUCAUAGUAGGCUGCGAAGAAAAGCGUCACUUUUGUGGAAAUUUUUGGAGCUUGGACACACACAGCACUUUUGGAGCACUUUUGGAGAAUCUUGACGCCAUCAGAACUUUCAACCCAUCAGCACCUUCCACGGCACCAAUAGUUUAAUAUUCAGCUACCAACAUUGUUCGGUGAGUUUUAUUCUUUAAAUAUAUAUUAAGAAACACGGUUGUUCAGCCGCGAAUAAAUAUGUACCUACUUGUG